CAGCCGCCGCGGUAAUACGUAGGUCCCGAGCGUUGUCCGGAUUUAUUGGGCGUAAAGCGAGCGCAGGCGGUUAGAUAAGUCUGAAGUUAAAGGCUGUGGCUUAACCAUAGUACGCUUUGGAAACUGUUUAACUUGAGUGCAAGAGGGGAGAGUGGAAUUCCAUGUGUAGCGGUGAAAUGCGUAGAUAUAUGGAGGAACACCGGUGGCGAAAGCGGCUCUCUGGCUUGUAACUGACGCUGAGGCUCGAAAGCGUGGGGAGCAAACAGGAUUAGAGACCCCCGUAGUCCCUGUCUCUUAUACA
rnacentral:rRNA from 1 species